UACGGAGGGAGCUAGCGUAGUUCGGAAUUACUGGGCGUAAAGCGCACGUAGGCGGAUCAGAAAGUUGGGGGUGAGAUCCCGGGGCUCAACCCCGGAACGGCCUCCAAAACUCCUGGUCUUGAGUUCGAGAGAGGUGAGUGGAAUUCCGAGUGUAGAGGUGAAAUUCGUAGAUAUUCGGAGGAACACCAGUGGUGAAGGCGGCUCACUGGCUCGAUACUGACGCUGAGGUGCGAAAGUGUGGGGAGCAAACAGG
rnacentral:misc_RNA from 1 species